rnacentral:rRNA from 1 species
GAUGAACGCUAGCGACAGGCUUAACACAUGCAAGUCGAGGGGCAGCGGGGUAGGAAGCUUGCUUUCUGCCGCCGGCGACCGGCGCACGGGUGAGUAACACGUAUGCAACCUGGCCGUGACAGAUGGAUAACCGGGAGAAAUCCCGCCUAAUACAACAUAAUGCCGGGAGGGGACAUCCCCUGCCGGCCAAAGGGGGCGACCCCGGUCACGGAUGGGCAUGCGGCGCAUUAGGUAGUUGGUGGGGCAACGGCCCACCAAGCCGACGAUGCGUAGGGGUUCUGAGAGGAAGGUCCCCCACAUUGGAACUGAGACACGGUCCAAACUCCUACGGGAGGCAGCAGUGAGGAAUAUUGGUCAAUGGCCGGAAGGCUGAACCAGCCAAGUCGCGUGAGGGAAUAAGGCCCUACGGGUCGUAAACCUCUUUUGCCAGGGAGCAAUGCCGUCCACGUGUGGACGGAAGGAGAGUAC